AUUGAACGCUGGCGGCAGGCCUAACACAUGCAAGUCGAGCGGAUGAAGGGAGCUUGCUCCUGGAUUCAGCGGCGGACGGGUGAGUAAUGCCUAGGAAUCUGCCUGGUAGUGGGGGAUAACGUCCGGAAACGGGCGCUAAUACCGCAUACGUCCUGAGGGAGAAAGUGGGGGAUCUUCGGACCUCACGCUAUCAGAUGAGCCUAGGUCGGAUUAGCUAGUUGGUGGGGUAAAGGCCUACCAAGGCGACGAUCCGUAACUGGUCUGAGAGGAUGAUCAGUCACAGUGGAAGAGAGACGCGGCCCAGACUCCUACGGGGGGCAGCGGGGGGGAAUAUGGGAGAAGGGGGGAAAGCGGUACCCAGCCAGCCGGGGGGGGGGAAGAGGGUCUUGGGAUUGAAAAGCACUUUAAGUUGGGGGGAGGGGAAGUAAGUAAAUACCUUGGUUUUUGGACUUACCAAAAAAAAAAGCCCCGGGCAAACUUCGGC
rnacentral:rRNA from 1 species